rnacentral:rRNA from 1 species
ACUGCUCAGUAACACGUGGAUAACCUGCCCUAGGGAAGGGGAUAACCCCGGGAAACUGGGGAUAAUACCCUAUAGAUUACAGAUGCUGGAAUGCACUGUAAUCCAAAGUUCCGACGCCCUAGGAUGGAUCUGCGGCCGAUUAGGUAGUUGUUGGGGUAAUGGCCCAACAAGCCAGUAAUCGGUACGGGUUGUGGGAGCAAGAGCCCGGAGUUGGAUUCUGAGACACGAAUCCAGGCCCUACGGGGCGCAGCAGGCGCGAAACCUUUACAAUGCGGGCAACCGUGAUAAGGGAACCUCGAGUGCCUGUAAACGCAGGCUGUUCAGGUGUUUAAAACGCACCUGAAGAAAGGGCCGGGCAAGACCGGUGCCAGCCGCCGCGGUAACACCGGCGGCUCGAGUGGUGGCCACUUUUAUUGGGCUUAAAGCGUUCGUAGCUGGGUUGUUAAGUCUCUUGGGAAAUCUGGCGGCUUAACCGUCAGGCGUCUAAGGGAUACUGGCAAUCUUGGAACCGGGAGAGGUGAGGGGUACUUCGGGGGUAGGAGUGAAAUCCUGUAAUCCUCGAGGGACCACCUGUGGCGAAGGCGCCUCACCAGAACGGCUUCGACAGUGAGGGACGAAAGCUGGGGGAGCAAACCGGAUUAGAUACCCGGGUAGUCCCAGCCGUAAACUAUGCGCGUUAGGUGUAUCGGUGACCACGAGUUACCGAGGUGCCGAAGGGAAACCGUGAAACGUGCCGCCUGGGAAGUACGGUCGCAAGGCUGAAACUUAAAAGAAUUGGCGGGGGAGCAC